CUCGGCGUGUAUGAAGCGUUCGGAGUUAGUGGUUGCACAGUUGGAUUGAAGAGGAGACACUUGCCAAGUUGGGGAGUGGUCCACUGGUUGUUUUGGGACUCGGAGUUAUCAGCAUAUCAUGGGAACAAGCACAGAAUCUUUUGCUAUCUUAUGACUAGGGAGGCAAAGAUGGCCCGUUGCUCACUUCUGACAACAACAUCCUGAUGCUGUUUGGGUGUGCCACGUAGAACUCCAGCAUCAGUGAUUUUGUUGACAGCGGGAGGACACAAUCAGCAGGGGUAGACUAACGCCACAAGUGGGACGGUCACAGCCGACAAGGCUGGCAAACUGUUUUUUACACACUCAUGUACAGUUGCUGAACCGUAAACUAACCAAGAAAUCGUGAUUUUUUU